rnacentral:rRNA from 1 species
GGAUUCCCCUAGUAACUGCGAGUGAAGCGGGAAAAGCUCAAAUUUAAAAUCUGGUAGUCUUUGGCUGCCCGAGUUGUAAUCUAGAGAAGCAUUAUCCGCGCUGGACCGUGUACAAGUGUCCUGGAAUGGACUAUCAUAGAGGGUGAGAAUCCCGUCUUUGACACGGACUCCCAGGGCUUUGUGAUGUGCUCUCAAAGAGUCGAGUUGUUUGGGAAUGCAGCUCUAAAUGGGUGGUAAAUUCCAUCUAAAGCUAAAUAUUGGCGAGAGACCGAUAGCGAACAAGUACCGUGAGGGAAAGAUGAAAAGAACUUUGGAAAGAGAGUUAAACAGUACGUGAAAUUGCUGAAAGGGAAACGCUUGAAGUCAGUCGCGUCGGCUGGGGAUCAACCUUGCUUCUUGCUUGGCUUACUUCCCAGUUGACGGGUCAGCAUCAGUUUUGACCAGUGGAUAAAGGUYAAGGGAAUGUGGCACCUCCGGGUGUGUUAUAGCCCUUGGUCAUAUACAUUGGUUGG